GACGAACGCUGGCGGCGUGCUUAACACAUGCAAGUGGAGCGACGAACCGGGCUUCGGCCCGGGGCAAAGCCGCGAACGGGUGAGUAUCACGUGGGUAACCUGCCCCGAUGACCGGGACAACCCGAGGAAACUCGGGCUAAUACCGGAUGUGCUCCUCGCACAUCAGUGCAAGGAGUAAAGGAAGCUUCGGCCUCCGCAUUGGGAUGGGCCCGCGGCCCAUUAGCUUGUUGGUGAGGUAAAGGCUCACCAAGGCAACGAUGGGUAGCUGGUCUGAGAGGGGGAUCAGCCACACUGGGACUGAGACACGGCCCAGACUCCUACGGGAGGCAGCAGUGGGGAAUCUUGCGCAAUGCGCGAAAGCGUGACGCAGCAACGCCGCGUGAGGGAAGAAGGCUUUCGGGUUGUAAACUCCUGUCGAGCGGGAAGAACGCUUCCCGGGUGAAUAUCCCGGGGAAUUGACGGUACCGCUAAAGGAAGCCCCGUCUAACUCCGUGCCAGCAGCCGCCGUAA
rnacentral:rRNA from 1 species